AUUGAACGCUGGCGGCAGGCCUAACACAUGCAAGUCGAGCGGAUGAAGGAAGCUUGCUCCUGGAUUCAGCGGCGGACGGGUGAGUAAUGCCUAGGAAUCUGCCUGGUAGUGGGGGAUAACGUCCGGAAACGGGCGCUAAUACCUCAUACGUCCUGAGGGAGAAAGUGGGGGAUCUUCGUACCUCACGCUAUCAGAUGAGCCUAUGUCGGAUUAGCUAGUUGGUGGGGUAAAGGCCUACCAAGGCGACGAUCCGUAACUGGUCUGAGAGGAUGAUCAGUCACACUGGAACUGAGACACGGUCCAGACUCCUACGGGAGGCAGCAGUGGGGAAUAUUGGACAAUGGGCGAAAGCCUGAUCCAGCCAUGCCGCGUGUGUGAAGAAGGUCUUCGGAUUGUAAAGCACUUUAAGUUGGGAGGAAGGGCAGUAAGUUAAUACCUUGCUGUUUUGACGUUACCAACAGAAUAAGCACCGGCUAACUUCGUG
rnacentral:rRNA from 1 species